AACGCACAUUGCGCCCGCCAGUAUUCUGGCGGGCAUGCCUGUCCGAGCGUCAUUUCAACCCUCGAACCCCUCCGGGGGGUCGGCGUUGGGGAUCGGCCUUCCUUCACGGGGGCCGUCUCCGAAAUACAGUGGCGGUCUCGCCGCAGCCUCUCCUGCGCAGUAGUUUGCACACUCGCAUCGGGAGCGCGGCGCGUCCACAGCCGUUAAACACCCCAAAUUCUGAAAUGUUGACCUCGGAUCAGGUAGGAAUACCCGCUGAACUUAA
rnacentral:misc_RNA from 1 species